CCUGCUGCCAGCCGGCGCCGGCGCCUCCCGGCCCGUCCCACCUCCCCGCCCAGCUCCCGGGGCCGGGGCCGGAGCCGGAGCCGGAGCCGGGCGGUCGGGACCGGCGCGGGCUCACCUGGGCGGCCGAGCUCAAGCAGGUUUGUCUUUGGAGACGCCAGCACCUGGCCAGCCCCAAGCGAGACCGCGAGGAGAGCUGCCCACGCACCCGGGACCUUCCCACGAGCCUGGAAGCUCUCCCAGAAGUCAACUUGAGCUCAAGUGAGAACAGCGGCGUCGCUCAGAAAUGGCCAGAGAACAGGAAAGAAAGCAGAAACCGGCUCCCUCCAAAAGGGGGAAAUUGGACUCCAGGUGGUGCUGUCUGCCGUGGUUUCCACUGUGGCACCACAGCCGAGGCCCAGGGGGAUGGAGCUGGAAGGGGUGGGCCCAGAGCCAGCAGAUAACCAACCAGUGGCCGCAGGAAAUGCAGCUAGCUGCUAAAGGUAGACAAGUCCUAAUGGAGAAAAGCACUGGUGGGCAGUAGUAACACAUCUCGGCAUUGUGCCCAUUAUACAGAUAUGGAAACCAGGUCACAGAGUAGUUAAGUCACUGGCUGAAGGUCACACGGUGACUAGUGAUGGAUCUGGAUUUGAACUCCGGAAGCCAAGCUAUGUGCAAUACUCAAACCUUAGCCAAUGGUGGCAAAUCUAUGGCACGGGUGCUGCCGUGGGCUGUUCGUUACCACUGAAAUUUCUAAAGGUUCCCUAUUACUGGUCCUAGGUCCUUGUUACUCUUAAUUGUGCCUAGAGUUGUCAGGUUAAUAAAAAUUCAAGAUGUGUAUGAGGAUACGAUUAGACUGAAAGUCUUUGUUUUUAAAUCUGAAGUUCAAAUUGAAUGUCUUGACUAGGUGUGGGGUGCUUGAGGCCUUUUAGUCUUCCUUAGACAUCCCAGAUUAAUCGAGAGUUUAAAUAAACCGGAAAAAUCCUCAAGCUCACUUGGGGCCCCAUGGUGCUGGCUGAUUCUGCAGUACAAUGUCAUGUUUGCUGUUUCUCCCACAAAAUAUUGGGGUUCCUGCCCUUUUGUGCUCUCAGAAGGGAGGUCAGACCCAGUGUGUUGCUUGCUGUACCAUAGAUGUACGCUGCAGGCCAUGGGUCUAAUUGAUAACUGUCUAGCAUUGGCCAUUAGAAGGUAAAGAGGAACAGGUGGAAUUGGUUUAAUAACAGCCUAACCAACAUACGCCAGGUGUCAUCUCUGCAGAAUAUAUUCAAUAUAAAAAUUAUUGGCACAAUCUCUUAAUCUUGA